rnacentral:misc_RNA from 1 species
UGCGGCUGGAUCCCCUCCUUACUGGUGGCUUGUCGAGAUUCCUCGGCGAGUGUUCACAUCUCUUGGUCAACAACACGUUGAGGGUCUGUAGCUCAGGUGGUUAGAGCGCACCCCUGAUAAGGGUGAGGUCGGAGGUUCGAGUCCUCCCAGACCCACCAUUGGGAAGAUUCAGGGGCCAUAGCUUAGCUGGGAGAGCGCCUGCCUUGCACGCAGGAGGUCGGGAGUUCGAUCCUCCCUGGCUCCACCAAAGGUCGAGAGUGUUGAGUCGCAAGUUUGUCCGUGUUGGGACAGGUUUGGGAGUCAUUGCUUGAGGCGAUGAGACGUUCUUUAACAAUUUGGAAUCGUACACUGUACAAACGCGAGGCGCGGGAGCGUUCGGAUUGCGAGAGCAAUGCGAGUGGCUUUCGCAACAGCGCUGGAAUGGGUGUCAGCAUUGUCAUGUAAUGCUUGGAUUGUCGAGAAGAUCGACGGUUUGGGGUUAUAUGGUCAAGUGAAGAAGCGCAUACGGUGGAUGCCUUGGCGGUAAGAGGCGAAGAAGGACGUGGUAGCCUGCGAAAAGCUUCGGGGAGGCGGCAAACAGCCUGUGAUCCGGAGAUGUCCGAAUGGGGAAACCCG